rnacentral:sRNA from 1 species
UAAUCGGCUUAUCAGACACGUACCUACUUC